CCUACGGGGGGCAGCAGUGAGGAAUAUUGGUCAAUGGCCGGAAGGCUGACCCAGCCAUGCCGCGUGAAGGUCAGUGGCCUUUGGGCGUUAAACUUCUUUUGUGCGGGAGCAAUAAUGGUCACGUGUGGCCAGACGAGAGUACCGUACGAAUAAGCAUCGGCUAACUCCGUGCCAGCAGCCGCGGUAAUACGGGGGAGGCAAGCGUUAUCCGGAUUUCUUGGGUUUAAAGGGUGCGUAGGCUGGGAGGUAAGUCAGCGGUGAAAUGCCCCCGCUCAACGGGGUGAAGUGCCAUUGAUACUGCCUUGCUGGAAUGCGGAUGCCGUGAGAGGAAUGUGUGGUGUAGCAGUGAAAUGCAUAGAUAUCACACAGAACACCGAUUGCGAAGGCAUCUCACGAAUCCGCGAUUGACGCUGAUGCACGAAAGCGUGGGUAUCAAACAGGAUUAGAUACCCUAGUAGUC
rnacentral:rRNA from 1 species